rnacentral:rRNA from 1 species
GAAUUUAAUUUAUUAUUAAUUAUUUAUUUUUAAAAUUGAAAUUUAAAUAAAAUAAUAGAAUUUUUAUUAUAAUAAGGAAAAAUUUAUGUUAAUUAUAGUUUAAAGUACUGAAAAGGAAAUAUUUAAAAUAUUAAAAAGAAAAAUUUUUUUGUACCUUGUGCAUCAGGGUUUAUUAAUUUAUCAAUAAAAAUUUAUUAUUCUCGAAUUUAAAAGAGCUAAAUUAUUAUGUAUUUUAUUGUUUCAUAAAUAUUUAAAAUAUUAAUUUAGUAAUGAAAUGUUAUUCGUUUUUAAAUAUAUCUAGUUUUUUAAGAAAAAAAUUUAAUUUUAUUAAUAAAUUUUAAAAUUUUAAUUUUUAAUAUUUUAAAUUUAUUAUUAAAUAAAUUAAGGGAUAAGCUUUAAUUUAAAUUUUUAUAAUUUUUUUAAGUAUGUAUAAUUAAUAGGAUUGAAAAUUUCUAUUUUUAAAAAUUUGUAAUAAUUUAUUAUUUUAUGAAUAAUAUUUAUAUAAAAUUUAAAUUUUUUAUUAAAAUUAAUUAAUUAAUUUUUUAUUAAUUGUAAUAAUGAUAAAAUUAGUAUUAUAUAUAUAUAUAUAUAUAUAUAUAUAUAUAUAUAUAUAUAUAUAUAUAUAUAUAUAUAUAUAUAUAUAUAUAUAGGUUAAAUAAAGGAAUUCGGCAAAUAUAUUUUUCACCUGUUUAUUAAAAACAUCUCUUUUUGAAUUUAAUUUAAAGUAGGGCCUGCCCACUGAGUAUUUGAAGGGCCGCGGUAUUUUGACUGUGCAAAGGUAGCAUAAUCAUUAGUUUUUUAAUUGAAAGCUUGUAUGAAUGGUUUGAUGAAAAAAUUUCUUUCUAUAUUUAAUUUAAUAAGAAUUUUAUUUUUAAGUUAAAAAGCUUAAAUUUUUUUAAUAGACGAGAAGACCCUAUAGAGUUUGAUUUUUUUAUAAAUUUUAAAAUAUUAAGAAUUUAAAUUUUUAAUUUUAUUAAAAAUUUGGUUGGGGUGACUGAAAAAUUAAAUUAACUUUUUUUGAAUUAAAACAUUUAUUUAUGAAUAUAUGAUCCAAAUUAUUGAUUAUAAGAAUAAAUUACCUUAGGGAUAACAGCGUUAUUUUUUUUUAGAGUUCAAAUCGAAAAAAAAGAUUGCGACCUCGAUGUUGGAUUAAAGUUAAUAUUUGGUGUAGAAGCUAAAAUAUUUGGUCUGUUCGACCAUUAAAACUUUACAUGAUCUGAGUUUAAACCGGUGUGAGCCAGGUUGGUUUCUAUCUUUAAUAAUUUAUAAAAUUUUAGUACGAAAGGACCAAAUUUUAGAUUAAUAAUUUUUUAAUUGAAUAAAAUU